AUGACAGUCACUGGCCAUAUGUAUGCUGCUCCAGCCCUGAGCAUUGCCACAGGUAACACCCCAGCAGCAAAUGAAAGAAUUAAAACACGCCUGUGCAUCCAGGAAAGGCGUGGUUGCACAUGGAUAAACGCAGCUGUGUCAACUUUGCCCCGGCUCGCUGGAUUCAGGGUAACAGCCAGGAUUUCAGCUUAUGCUGGCUGGCUGAGUACGCACCAGCAGUAUAUAGUGAAACCUGAAAAUCUGUGCCAUGGUGUUUUCAUGGGGUGGUCAUGCACAUGGCCACCAGCAUGGCAACACCCCCCUGAUGUCCUUUCUGACACCGAUGCCCUAGAAGCCAUGGGUUUCCCCCAGAUCCUCAGGGAAAACAUGACCCGAGCCAACCACAGAGGAAGGUGCUCAGCAUCCUUUUGAAUUAGGCUUCCAGAGGGACAUUCAAAAGCUGCUGAAACUGCCAGAGCACUUCUGUUCGUGUCAGAGGAGCAGGUUUCUCCUGGAUUGAAAUUUCCCACUAAUGUAAUUAUUGUCUAUUAAGGGAGGAAGAUGGAAAAGUGAAGCUGGCAUUUCGUGCAUUAAGGUCACACAUGCCAGCCAGCUCUCAGCAUCUUAAAUGAGACUCUAUAGAGAUUUUAUUAUUUUCUAGACAUACGCAUGCCUGACGUACGUUGCAACACAGCCUCCCUCCUGCCACUCAAGGUGCAUUAUGGCCAACAACUGAGGGAAGAUGCACCUCAGGCGGAGGAGCCGUCAGGACACAGGGCAGCCAAGCAUCAAGCAUCUGACCUGAACAUCAUCAGGGGAAGAGACAGAAACUGGGAGGACUUCUCCAGGCUGACUCCCCAGCAACUUUAAAAGGCCGAGAUAACUCCGCUGCUACAGAUAGACGUGGUCCUUUGUGCCCAAACUCUCACCAACACAGCAGAGCACAUCUUGCUUUUACACCAAUGCAACAGAAGGCAGCUUUGCAAUCAAAUAUAAAUAAAUAAAAUCCUGUUUUGUUAAAUGACA
rnacentral:lncRNA from 1 species